GUGUUAUAUGAAAGAACAGAAGGUUAGCAUUCCCCUUGAUAAGGAUAAAAGAUGUCUCAUUGACCUUUUAUAACACAUAUACAAUUAAGACAUUUACACUUCUCUGGCAUAUAACCAAGUUUGGUUUAUUA